rnacentral:rRNA from 1 species
CGGCGAUGUCCGAAUGGGGAAACCCAGUGUGAUUCGUCACACUAUCGUUAACUGAAUACAUAGGUUAACGAGGCGAACCGGGGGAACUGAAACAUCUAAGUACCCCGAGGAAAAGAAAUCAACCGAGAUUCCCCCAGUAGCGGCGAGCGAACGGGGAGCAGCCCAGAGUCUGAAUCAGCUUGUGUGUUAGUGGAACGGUCUGGAAAGUCCGACGGUACAGGGUGAUAGUCCCGUACACCAAAAUGCACAGGUUGUGAACUCGAAGAGUAGGGCGGGACACGUGGUAUCCUGUCUGAAUAUGGGGGGACCAUCCUCCAAGGCUAAAUACUCCUGACUGACCGAUAGUGAACCAGUACCGUGAGGGAAAGGCGAAAAGAACCCCGGCGAGGGGAGUGAAAAAGAACCUGAAACCGUGUACGUACAAGCAGUGGGAGCACCUUUAUGGUGUGACUGCGUACCUUUUGUAUAAUGGGUCAGCGACUUAUAUUCUGUAGCAAGGUUAACCGUAUAGGGGAGCCGCAGGGAAACCGAGUCUUAACUGGGCGUUAAGUUGCAGGGUAUAGACCCGAAACCCGGUGAUCUAGCCAUGGGCAGGUUGAAGGUUGGGUAACACUAACUGGAGGACCGAACCGACUAAUGUUGAAAAAUUAGCGGAUGACUUGUGGCUGGGGGUGAAAGGCCAAUCAAACCGGGAGAUAGCUGGUUCUCCCCGAAAGCUAUUUAGGUAGCGCCUCGUGAACUCAUCUUCGGGGGUAGAGCACUGUUUCGGCUAGGGGGUCAUCCCGACUUACCAACCCGAUGCAAACUACGAAUACCGAAGAAUGUUAUCACGGGAGACACACGGCGGGUGCUAACGUCCGUCGUGAAGAGGGAAACAACCCAGACCGCCAGCUAAGGUCCCAAAGUCAUGGUUAAGUGGGAAACGAUGUGGGAAGGCACAGACAGCCAGGAUGUUGGCUUAGAAGCAGCCAUCAUUUAAAGAAAGCGUAAUAGCUCACUGGUCGAGUCGGCCUGCGCGGAAGAUGUAACGGGGCUAAACCAUGCACCGAAGCUGCGGCAGCGACACUAUGUGUUGUUGGGUAGGGGAGCGUUCUGUAAGCCUGCGAAGGUGACCUGUGAGGGUUGCUGGAGGUAUCAGAAGUGCGAAUGCUGACAUAAGUAACGAUAAAGCGGGUGAAAAGCCCGCUCGCCGGAAGACCAAGGGUUCCUGUCCAACGUUAAUCGGGGCAGGGUGAGUCGACCCCUAAGGCGAGGCCGAAAGGCGUAGUCGAUGGGAAACAGGUUAAUAUUCCUGUACUUGGUGUUACUGCGAAGGGGGGACGGAGAAGGCUAUGUUAGCCGGGCGACGGUUGUCCCGGUUUAAGCAUGUAGGCUGGUUAUCCAGGCAAAUCCGGAUAAUCAAGGCUGAGGUGUGAUGACGAGGCACUACGGUGCUGAAGUAACAAAUGCCCUGCUUCCAGGAAAAGCCUCUAAGCAUCAGGUAACAUCAAAUCGUACCCCAAACCGACACAGGUGGUCAGGUAGAGAAUACCAAGGCGCUUGAGAGAACUCGGGUGAAGGAACUAGGCAAAAUGGUGCCGUAACUUCGGGAGAAGGCACGCUGGUGUGUAGGUGAAGUCCCUGCGGAUGGAGCUGAGACCAGUCGAAGAUACCAGCUGGCUGCAACUGUUUAUUAAAAACACAGCACUGUGCAAACACGAAAGUGGACGUAUACGGUGUGACGCCUGCCCGGUGCCGGAAGGUUAAUUGAUGGGGUUAUCCGUAAGGAGAAGCUCUUGAUCGAAGCCCCGGUAAACGGCGGCCGUAACUAUAACGGUCCUAAGGUAGCGAAAUUCCUUGUCGGGUAAGUUCCGACCUGCACGAAUGGCGUAAUGAUGGCCAGGCUGUCUCCACCCGAGACUCAGUGAAAUUGAACUCGCUGUGAAGAUGCAGUGUACCCGCGGCAAGACGGAAAGACCCCGUGAACCUUUACUAUAGCUUGACACUGAACAUUGAGCCUUGAUGUGUAGGAUAGGUGGGAGGCUUUGAAGCGUGGACGCCAGUCUGCGUGGAGCCAACCUUGAAAUACCACCCUUUAAUGUUUGAUGUUCUAACGUUGGCCCCUUAUCGGGGUUGCGGACAGUGUCUGGUGGGUAGUUUGACUGGGGCGGUCUCCUCCCAAAGCGUAACGGAGGAGCACGAAGGUUAGCUAAUCCUGGUCGGACAUCAGGAGGUUAGUGCAAUGGCAUAAGCUAGCUUGACUGCGAGCGUGACGGCGCGAGCAGGUGCGAAAGCAGGUCAUAGUGAUCCGGUGGUUCUGAAUGGAAGGGCCAUCGCUCAACGGAUAAAAGGUACUCCGGGGAUAACAGGCUGAUACCGCCCAAGAGUUCAUAUCGACGGCGGUGUUUGGCACCUCGAUGUCGGCUCAUCACAUCCUGGGGCUGAAGUAGGUCCCAAGGGUAUGGCUGUUCGCCAUUUAAAGUGGUACGCGAGCUGGGUUUAGAACGUCGUGAGACAGUUCGGUCCCUAUCUGCCGUGGGCGCUGGAGAAUUGAGGGGGGCUGCUCCUAGUACGAGAGGACCGGAGUGGACGCAUCACUGGUGUUCGGGUUGUCAUGCCAAUGGCACUGCCCGGUAGCUAAAUGCGGAAGAGAUAAGUGCUGAAAGCAUCUAAGCACGAAACUUGCCCCGAGAUGAGUUCU